UUCCUUUCUCACGUCAGAAAUCAAGAAAAGAUUGUGCGUGACGAAAAGAAACAUGAUUUUGAGAGCCACCGUACCGUGAUAAGGACAAGUACGAUUGGAGAAGCAAAACAUGAUACAAAUACGAUUGAAGACGGAAAACAUAAGAAAUAUAUUUCUUUUCUCACAUCAGAAUUUGAGAAAAGAUUGUGCGUGACGAAAAGAAACGUGAUUUUGAGAGCCAAUGUACCGUGAUAAGGAUAGGUACGAUUGGAAAAGGAAAACAUGGGGAAUAUAUUUCCUCUUUCACGUCAGAACUCGAGUGGAGAUUGUGCGUGACGAAAAGAAACGUCAUUUUGAGAGCCACUGUACCGUGAUAAGGACAAGUCUAUAAAGUGUAAGGUCAGUAGAAACCAGUAUGCUCCAGUUACUCUGGCGAAUUGAAUAACGCUUCGGAUCCGGUGUUUCCGCAACAUUAUUGAGUUCACCGCUUUCGAAAUAUCCGAGGGGAAUUGAUUUAUCGGCAGACGGGUAUCGUCCAGUUGUAACCAGGACAAAGAAAAGAGAAAAAAAAAGGAUGCCACCGCGGUCGCGAGAUCGGAAGCUGCCAAGGCUGACAGGGAUCCAUCAAAAUCAGCUGCCAAGUGUUCUGCCAGUUCCUCCACCUGCGUUGACCACGCUUGACCGGAACCACUGCUUCCGAUGGACCCUGUAAUUGCCACAUAUUAUUUAAAUGUAUAUAACCAACAGAUCUGAUUUAUAAAAUACAAUAACUCUC